rnacentral:tRNA from 1 species
UCCCUGAUAGCUCAGAUGGUGAAGCAAAGCAUCUGCCUGCAAUGAAGAAGACCCAGGUUCAAUCCCUGGGUUGGGAA